rnacentral:sRNA from 1 species
AUUCAUGAUUUUGAACUUAAUGAAUGUUAAAGGGAUUAGUUGUUCUUGACGCAUUGUGUAUUUGAGUGUAGGUUUGGAUCAUAACAAAGCAUGGCUAAAGUUUUUAAGUAGAACUCGAUCACCUCGCAUCUUAGAACUGUUAGCUGGUACAUCGAUCUUAAUUGUCAUAUCUCAUGCUUUGGUUCCGAGUCCCCAACUUCAAACCUCUCCUUUUACUUAUGUCUUCUUGUUUGCUUGAGGGCAAGCAUAGACUAAGUUUGGGGGAGUUGAUAUGUCUAUAAUUUGCAUGAUUUAGGCAUUCAUUCUUCACCACUUUGUCAUUGUUUCAUCCACAUUUCAUCUCAUUAGGAGUCGUUUUAGUGUGAUUUGCAUACUUAGGACGAUUUUGCAUUAGGAUUGCAUGUGCAUUGCAUAUAUGGUUGUUCUUAGGUACUUUGGAUGCUUUUGGAGUUCAAACAGAGGAGAAACAGAACAGAAAGUCAGAAUGCCCAAUGACGCCUGCAGCAAAAGUACUCUAUUGCAGCCUUGGAGUCCUGCCAGGGCAAAUCACUCUAUCGCAACCCCGGAGAAGCUAGCAGCUCAGUUUCACUCAAUCGCGAAGCCGGAGGAAUCACCCAUCAGAACCACUCGAUCACCACUCGAUCAUCAGGAGGCCUAUCUGCUCGUUCUGCACUCAAUAAGACAAGUUGAGAACGAAGAAGAGAAGACAAGCCAAAGCAACCACUGGAUCACCACCUCAUGACAUCCACUCGAUCGCACUCUAUCACAGGGUCGCUGGACCAUUCAAUCUUGUCUUCACUGCAUACCACUCGAUCGCAAGGCGGAGUCCCUAAAGCCCAGUUUGAUCAAUGACGCACUCUAUCACAGGGAAGCUCAUGUCAGCCCAUCAGAUGCCAAUGACACAUUUGAUCGCAGGGUCAAGACUUGAAGAUUCGCUAUAUAUCUAGUUUCCUUAUUUGUUUCAUUUUCCCUUAUAUAAGUAGCCUCUUAGGGUUUUCCCUAGGGAUUUCCGUUUUUCAUCCAUACAUUUUGCAACUUUCAUAGCCGCAGUGUUUUUCCUGCGACUUUGUAUUUUCACUUUCAAGUAUUUGAUAUUCAGUUUUGCGUUGCUUUGAUAUUGUUUUUGAUUAUGUUUGAGAAGUGAACCGUAUUUCCGAGGAUGGGAUAGAUUAGUUGGAUCUAUUAAUUCCAGAGAUAUAUGCGUCUACCCUAAGGGAUUGGCCGUAAAGAGGGUAUUGGCUUUAACAAGUUGAUUCAAUAUUGCCUGCUUUGUUAGAGAUCGCUAAUGGGAAGUAGGUAAGUGUCAGCUUUGCUUGAUGAUUUCUAUCACGGAAGUGAAUUAAUCUGUUGUUGAAUUUGUUGUCUAGGGAUAGCUUCUAUGAAAUUUUGUCAACCGCCUGAAUAGAUUAAGAAGACCACACUAUUCGAUUACCCCAUCCUUAGGAAUCGUUUACUCAUUUGACUGCCUGUUAUCAUUUCUACUUUGUUAUUCACCUGCCUGUUAUUGCCAUUUCUGCUUUUAGUUUCAUUUCAUUUCUGUUAUUGCAUACUAGGACUGUUAGAACCAACCAACUCUCUGCUUGGCUGACUUAGAGCUUUCUAAUCAUAUCUCAUCUGUUUGGAUCACACCGGAUUGGAUUGACAACCUAAAAUACUACAAUGACAGGAUAGCGUUUUAGAAUUAAUUGAGUAAAAAUCCUACUAUCACGUUGCCUAGCCGAAAGUGUGGAGUUGGUGGGCAAAAAACGGCCGGGUGUUGGAGUGUGUCGCCGGUCAUUAAGAUGAGCGGAUUGGUCGCGGGUUAAACGAAUCCAUUGGCAACCCGAUCGACCAUGGCGGUGCAACUUCCCUAAUCCAUUCACUUGUUGGCUGUCGUUGGAGUGAGUUUGCGUUCGGCGGGACCGGCGGGCAAGAUGUUGCUCGGGCCGCCAGGCGGAGCAAAUCCGGCGAAGAUGUGGCACGAUCCGUCAGACUCUAGCCAAAGGUAAGCGGACAUCAGCGGGCUCUGUCCAAAGUUUGGCACGACCAGGCCGGCCUAUCCAGGCGAUGCUGGUUACUCGGGCGAGUAGCUGGCCAGUUUUCACGGUGCCUAGUGACGGGUCCAGGUGACCCUCCUUCCUUCUUUUCUUUUUGGGUUUUUCUGUUUUCUAAUUUUCUAUUUUUCUUUUGUGUUUUUAU